rnacentral:rRNA from 1 species
GACGAACGCUGGCGGCGCGCCUAACACAUGCAAGUCGAACGAGCGAGAGGAGGUUUACUUUCUCAAGCGAGUGGCGAAUGGGUGAGUAACGCGUGAGGAACCUGCCUCAAAGAGGGGGACAACAGUUGGAAACGACUGCUAAUACCGCAUAAGCCCACGACCCGGCAUCGGGUAGAGGGAAAAGGAGCAAUCCGCUUUGAGAUGGCCUCGCGUCCGAUUAGCUAGUUGGUGAGGUAAUGGCCCACCAAGGCGACGAUCGGUAGCCGGACUGAGAGGUUGAACGGCCACAUUGGGACUGAGACACGGCCCAGACUCCUACGGGAGGCAGCAGUGGGGAAUAUUGCACAAUGGGGGAAACCCUGAUGCAGCGACGCCGCGUGGAGGAAGAAGGUCUUCGGAUUGUAAACUCCUGUUGUUGAGGAAGAUAAUGACGGUACUCAACAAGGAAGUGACGGCUAACUACGUG